rnacentral:tRNA from 1 species
CGGGGAUUAGUUCAGAUGGCUAGAACGCAGCGUUCGGAACGCUGAGGCCGCCAGUUCAAGUCUGGCAUCCCCGA